rnacentral:lncRNA from 1 species
GAACUGCGAUGAACAUGGUUGACAUUUUCUUCUCUGCUUUCGGAUUUCACAAGUUGAUGUGGGAUUUUGGUAUUACUAAAAAUUUAGGCGGCGAUUUAAUUUGGGGUUUGGGCGCCAAAUUUUAGGGAUUCAAAAUUUUGUGAUUAAAAAUCCUAAAAAGCCCAAAUUUGCAAUGAUCCAGCAGCAAAGUGGCCAUUGCAGAAAAGCAUCGAUGGAUCUUCCUCCUUUACCAUCGCUUACUCCCCCAACAAAAUCAAAACCCAGCUAGACGAGGAAAUGCAGAGAGACAAGGAAGAAGAAUACGUCAAAAGUACAUUUUUACCCCGCAUUUAACAGACAACUAACGGAAAAAUUACUUGUGGACUAAAUUUGCUAACGGACUGCACCACGAGGGUUUAAAUCCUAAUUUUUUUACCACGAGAGCUAUCUUCCAAUAACCUUAUCACCACAAGGACCAUCUAUCCGAUCAGGCCUUUUUCUUUUGGUUAAAUAAAGUGGAGUCGUAUCGUUCACACCAGCAGUUUCCAGUACUGGUCAUUUGGAAAUGGGGAAAGAAUAGAGUAAAGACCGACAUUGAGAUUCUAGCUUGCAAACUUGCAAGAGAUAAAGCACCAACUAAAACAAAACAAUUAGGCUUAAAUGUUAGAAUGGUCCCUGUGUUUUAAUCACUGUGUCAAUUUAGUCCCUGUAUUUUCAAUUUGGCCAAUUUGGUCCUUGUGUUUAUUUUCGUUAGCCAAUUAAGGACAUUUUCAUCAAUUUUUGUAAAAAAAAUUAUAAACUACUAUAAACUUAUUUAUAAAAUUAUUUAUUUGAUUUGUGAAAAGAAAAUUUAUUCUCCUCCCAACUUCCCGACCUCCUCCCUAACGUUGCCCCC